AACGAACGCUGGCGGCAUGCCUAACACAUGCAAGUCGAACGAACCCUUCGGGGUGAGUGGCGCACGGGUGCGUAACGCGUGGGAACCUGCCCGUAGGUUCGGAAUAACACAGAGAAAUUUGUGCUAAUACCGGAUAAUGUCUACGGACCAAAGAUUUAUCGCCUUUGGAUGGGCCCGCGUAGGAUUAGCUAGUUGGUAAAGUACAGGCUCACCAAGGCGACGAUCCUUAGCUGGUCUUAGAGGAUGAUCAGCCACACUGGGACUGAGACACGGCCCAGACUCCUACGGGAGGCAGCAGUGGGGAAUAUUGGACAAUGGGCGAAAGCCUGAUCCAGCAAUGCCGCGUGAGUGAUGAAGGCCUUAGGGUUGUAAAGCUCUUUUACCCGGGAUGAUAAUGACAGUACCGGGAGAAUAAGCCCCGGCUAACUCCGUGCCAGCCGCCGCUGUAACAC
rnacentral:rRNA from 1 species